AUGGCAAUUGAUCUGUAUGUGUGUGCUCUGAGCGCCAUUCAGUAAUAAUGUGCGCUCAGAUCUGAGCUAUCUGGGGAUAUGUUGAAUGUAUCUGUUUUGUGCAAUGGCUGCACAGUUAUAUGUUUUUAUGUGUUUUAUUGUCUUUUGCUGCCAUGUGUUCAAUGGAGUUUUGCCUCUGUCCUUGGAGAUAAUUGGAUUACUUCCCAAUUAUCUCCAGGAUAGAAGACUCUGUGGAACUGGUUUUGGG